rfam:Pan troglodytes isolate Yerkes chimp pedigree #C0471 (Clint) chromosome 4, whole genome shotgun sequence.
GCUGGGCAUGGCGGCGCAUGCCUGUAAUCCCAGCUACUCGGGAGGCUGAGGCAGGAGAAUCACUUGAACCCAGGAGGCGGAGGUUGCAGUGAGCCGAGAUCACGCCACUGCACUCCAGCCUGGGUGACAGAGGGAGACUCCGUCUCAA